AGAAUAUUAUAGCUGAACUGAAACAGUUUAAUGAAGAGGAAUGAUCCAGAAUUCCUCCUGACUGUUGUGCAGGUCUGAACUACAGGAAACGUUUGAUUGAGGUUUUUGCUGCCAAAGGAGGAUCAACCAGUUAUUAAAUCCAAAGGUUCACAUACUUUUCCCCUCCUCACUGUAAAUGUUAACAUGCUGUGUUCAAUAAAACCAUGCAAACAUACAUAUAAUAUUUUGUGUGGUAUUAAUUUAAGCAGACUGUGUUUGUCUAUUGUUGUGACUUAGAUGACGAUCAGAAAACAUUUAAUAACCACUUUAUGCACAAAUCCAAGUAAUUCCAAAGGGUUCACAUAUGUUUUCUUGCAACUGUAAGUGGGACCUUUGCUGCCAUUCUGAGACACGACUACUUGUCUGUUGAUUCCUUCUGGGUGCAACUAUUUUUUUUAUGAGUGUACAGUACACAUACACUUUUAUACACACCUUCCAUGUAAGCAUAUACACUUCCAUGCAUUCUCCCUGUUUUCCGUGCAUGACUAUAUAAGGUAAAUGUCUUGCUUAACUUGAGCUACAGUGUAAGUGUUUUAUGUUGGAAUGCUAUGCAUGACAGUUUUUUUUUUCACAAUUUGUCGUUUUAGUCUUAAAUAUACAUGGAAAUAAAUGUAUAUUCAGUAUUUUGAUUUUUUGCAUGCUUUUUUUCAAUUUCUAAGCUAUUUUUUUCUUUUGAUUUGAUAAGUUGUUGGUAUCUAUAAAGUUAAGUGCAUAGAGUUAGCUAUUUUUGCUUGAACAUGUUUUAUUUUGUGUUUCCUUUCCUGUUGUUUUUGUUGUUCUUGUUCCUGUUGCUGUUGUUUGUGUUUUUUUGGUGUUGUUGUUGUUGUUUUUGUUUGUUCCGUUGUACCCAGGACCCUCUACUCAACAGUAUCUUAAGAUACAGAUCCGUCCGCCGGCAAUUGGCUCAGUUGCCAUGGUGAACGGUGACUCCUCCCACAUUCUCUCUCUGCCCCUGACUCCCCCGCCCCCUCCUACCCUGAUCUCUCCCCAUCAGCCCCUCUUCACCUCAUUCGGGUAUAACACACCCACCUGCAGCUCAUUUGCGUUCGAACCGCCCUCCUCCUCCUCCUCCCGCUCAGAGGAGCCGAAAAAAGAGACAGGUUCCAGAGGGUCCGUGUCUAGCCCACAUGGUUCUCCUACUCUAAGUGGUCAGCAGAGCAGCGCCAACGAGGAGAUAUGGGUACUACGGAAACCUCUGGCUGGUGAGUGGCCCGUCUGUGUUCCUUACAAACACACUGAGGACCUCAGCAGUUUAUUAAUGUUUGCUUCUUUGUGUUCUCUUUGUUAUUGUUUGCCAGGCGGUGGUGGCGGCAGCAGUGGCAGCAUGGGCAGUACAGGCAGUCUGACCAGCGGCCGCUCGUCCAUCAGCGGUCCGAUGGACAAUGCCAAUGUUCACCUCACCAACUCACCUGUGCCUGUGCCAACUACCCCCACACAUUCACCAGGGCUCAACACACACGGCCUCAACGUGCCAGGACUGCACGCGCAGGCGGAGGGGGUGAAGGUGAGACAUAAGCAUACAAAUCUCAUUUAAACAUUUUGUUCUUUACCAAAAAUGACUU
rnacentral:lncRNA from 1 species